AGCUGCAGCCCACCAGGAGAAUGAUAGAAUGGAUCAGUCUUUUCAAUGCCUAAAGAAAUCCAAAUAUAUCACCAUGAUGAAAAAAGUACCAAGCCUCAGAAGACACCCAUAAACCAGAAACAAAAAGAUGUGGAUACCAUCAAACUAAUAAAGCUCAGAUUUGAGCAUGGGAGGUCUUCUGAAAACCAUGGACAAUGACCAAAAAGAGGAAAGAAGAGAACCAGACCUUCCCCAGCUGGCCAGAAACGCCGGGACAAGAAAGGUUCAGCACCUAAGCGACUGACAGGCCAUGAGGAGGAGAACUUCGGUCUCCUGCUAUACAAAGCCAUCCACCUGCAGAGCAGCCAGAGGCCCAGGAGCAGCACUACAGGCAAAGGUUCACAGAGCUGGGACAGAGAUUAAGAGACUUCAAUGAGAAAUCAUAGUGCCUUAUAAUUAUGCCAUUAUGAGUAAUUAAUAAAGAUUGGUAAAGAACCUGUAA